CAAUAGCGUAUAUUAAUGUUGUUGCAGUUAAAAAGCUCGUAGUUGGAUUUCUACCUAUUUUGCCCGUUCCGGAAGAUAUUCAUCUUUCGGUAAUGGAGUUGAAGUGGGUAUCCUAUCAUGAAGUAGCGGCCUCGUGUCGUUGCUGAGUGGUUCUUUUACUUUGAAAAAAUUAGAGUGUUUAAAGCGGGCUUGCGCAUGAAUACAUUAGCAUGGAAUAAUAACAUAGGACUUUGGUCUCUAUUUUGUUGGUUUCUAGGACUAAAGUAAUGAUUGAUAGGGAUAGUUGGGGGUGCUAGUAUUGAGCGGCCAGAGGUGAAAUUCUUAGAUUCGCUCAAGACUAACUUAUGCGAAAGCAUUCACCAAGGAUGUCUUCUUUAA
rnacentral:rRNA from 1 species